rnacentral:tRNA from 1 species
GGCCCCGUAGCUCAGUUGGAUAGAGCGUUGGUUUCCUAAACCGAAGGUCGCAAGUUCGAUUCUUGCCGGGGUCA